rnacentral:lncRNA from 1 species
UCUCUCUCUUCUUUUUUUAUUUUUUUUAGAGUAGUGCUAAGCAUCCUGGCCUUUCUUUCAUCGUUUGAGGUGAACAUUCAUACUUAACUUAGGUGCAGAGAACUCGAUUACUAAGCUUAAGGUAAUCCACAUAUACUCUAUAUUUUAUACUUUUAUUUCAAACAAGUAGCUCUUUCCUCAAAUUCAAGUUUCUUUAAUUGAGGUGUAUAUCAAUCAUCAAUUUUAAAUAAUAAUUAAAUCCUUAGUUGGCCUUACAAUCGACACCUACUUUGCCUUGUCAGUGUGCAUGUGUAAUUGAUAGUGCUGAUAACCUUUA